UACAGAGGGUGCGAGCGUUGUUCGGAAUUACUGGGCGUAAAGCGUGCGCAGGCGGCUUUGCAAGACAGAUGUGAAAUCCCCGGGCUUAACCUGGGAACUGCAUUUGUGACUGCAUGGCUGGAGUGCGGCAGAGGGGGAUGGAAUUCCGCGUGUAGCAGUGAAAUGCGUAGAUAUGCGGAGGAACACCGAUGGCGAAGGCAAUCCCCUGGGCCUGCACUGACGCUCAUGCACGAAAGCGUGGGGAUCAAACAGG
rnacentral:rRNA from 1 species